rnacentral:rRNA from 1 species
ACCUACGGGGCGCAGCAGUGGGGGAUAUUGCACAAUGGGGGAAACCCUGAUGCAGCGACGCCGCGUGGGCGAAGAAGUAUUUCGGUAUGUAAAGCCCUAUCAGCAGGGAAGAAGAAAUGACGGUACCUGAGUAAGAAGCACCGGCUAAAUACGUGCCAGCAGCCGCGGUAAUACGUAUGGUGCAAGCGUUAUCCGGAUUUACUGGGUGUAAAGGGAGCGUAGACGGUUAAUCAAGUCAGAAGUGAAAACCCAGGGCUCAACCUUGGGACUGCUUUUGAAACUGAGUAGCUAGAGUGCAGGA